rnacentral:rRNA from 1 species
UCCAACUUGAGAGUUUGAUCCUGGCUCAGAGCGAACGCUGGCGGCAGGCUUAACACAUGCAAGUCGAACGGGCAUAGCAAUAUGUCAGUGGCAGACGGGUGAGUAACGCGUGGGAACGUACCUUUUGGUUCGGAACAACUGAGGGAAACUUCAGCUAAUACCGGAUAAGCCCUUACGGGGAAAGAUUUAUCGCCGAAAGAUCGGCCCGCGUCUGAUUAGCUAGUUGGUGUGGUAAAGGCGCACCAAGGCGACGAUCAGUAGCUGGUCUGAGAGGAUGAUCAGCCACAUUGGGACUGAGACACGGCCCAAACUCCUACGGGAGGCAGCAGUGGGGAAUAUUGGACAAUGGGCGAAAGCCUGAUCCAGCCAUGCCGCGUGAGUGAUGAAGGCCCUAGGGUUGUAAAGCUCUUUUGUGCGGGAAGAUAAUGACGGUACCGCAAGAAUAAGCCCCGGCUAACUUCGUGCCAGCAGCCGCGGUAAUACGAAGGGGGCUAGCGUUGCUCGGAAUCACUGGGCGUAAAGGGUGCGUAGGCGGGUCUUUAAGUCAGAGGUGAAAGCCUGGAGCUCAACUCCAGAACUGCCUUUGAUACUGAGGAUCUUGAGUAUGGGAGAGGUGAGUGGAACUGCGAGUGUAGAGGUGAAAUUCGUAGAUAUUCGCAAGAACACCAGUGGCGAAGGCGGCUCACUGGCCCAUAACUGACGCUGAGGCACGAAAGCGUGGGGAGCAAACAGGAUUAGAUACCCUGGUAGUCCACGCCGUAAACG